rnacentral:rRNA from 1 species
GAGAUGAGUUCUCCCUGAGACUUAGAGUCUCCUGAAGGAACGUUGAAGACGACGACGUUGAUAGGCCGGGUGUGUAAGCGCAGCGAUGCGUUGAGCUAACCGGUACUAAUGAACCGUGAGGCUUAACCUUGCAACGCCGAAG